GCUUGCUAAAGUUGGAAGAGUUGCGAACGGGUGAGUAACGCGUAGGUAACCUGCCUACUAGCGGGGGAUAACUAUUGGAAACGAUAGCUAAUACCGCAUAACAGCAUUUAACCCAUGUUAGAUGCUUGAAAGGAGCAAUUGCUUCACUAGUAGAUGGACCUGCGUUGUAUUAGCUAGUUGGUGAGGUAACGGCUCACCAAGGCGACGAUACAUAGCCGACCUGAGAGGGUGAUCGGCCACACUGGGACUGAGACACGGCCCAGACUCCUACGGGAGGCAGCAGUAGGGAAUCUUCGGCAAUGGGGGCAACCCUGACCGAGCAACGCCGCGUGAGUGAAGAAGGUUUUCGGAUCGUAAAGCUCUGUUGUAAGAGAAGAACGUGUGUGAGAGUGGAAAGUUCACACAGUGACGGUAACUUACCAGAAAGGGACGGCUAACUACGUGCCAGCAGCCGCGGUAAUACGUAGGUCCCGAGCGUUGUCCGGAUUUAUUGGGCGUAAAGCGAGCGCAGGCGGUUUAAUAAGUCUGAAGUUAAAGGCAGUGGCUUAACCAUUGUUCGCUUUGGAAACUGUUAGACUUGAGUGCAGAAGGGGAGAGUGGAAUUCCAUGUGUAGCGGUGAAAUGCGUAGAUAUAUGGAGGAACACCGGUGGCGAAAGCGGCUCUCUGGUCUGUAACUGACGCUGAGGCUCGAAAGCGU
rnacentral:rRNA from 1 species